rnacentral:rRNA from 1 species
GACGAACGCUGGCGGCGUGCUUAACACAUGCCAGUCGAACGGAGAGGCCCUGCUUUUGUGGGGUGCUCGAGUGGCGAACGGGUGAGUAACACGUGAGUAACCUGCCCUUGACUUUGGGAUAACUUCAGGAAACUGGGGCUAAUGCCGGAUAGGAGCUCCUGCUGCAUGGUGGGGGUUGGAAAGUUUCGGCGGUUGGGGAUGGACUCGCGGCUUAUCAGCUUGUUGGUGGGGUAGUGGCUUACCAAGGCUUUGACGGGUAGCCGGCCUGAGAGGGUGACCGGCCACAUUGGGACUGAGAUACGGCCCAGACUCCUACGGGAGGCAGCAGUGGGGAAUAUUGCACAAUGGGCGGAAGCCUGAUGCAGCAACGCCGCGUGCGGGAUGACGGCCUUCGGGUUGUAAACCGCUUUCGCCUGUGACGAAGCGUGAGUGACGGUAAUGGGUAAAGAAGCACCGGCUAACUACGUG